UUAUAGUUGCGCAGGCAUUUUGGUGACUCUAGAGAACCUCGGGCCAAUCGCACGUCCCCGUGACAGCGACAACGCAUUCGGAUGUCUGCCCUAUCAACUUUCGAUAGACUUUCUGCGCCUACCAUGGUGACCAUGGGUAACGGGGAAUCAGGGUUCGAUUCCGGAGAGGGAGCCUGAGAGCGGCUACCACAUCCGAGGAAGGCAGCAGAUGCGCAAAUUACCCACUCCCGACGCGGGGAGGUAGUGAUGA